rnacentral:rRNA from 1 species
CCGGUAUAAACCGGAGGAAGGUGGGGAGUGACGUCAAAUCAUCAUGCCCUUAUGACCUGGGCUACACACGUGCUACAAUGGUUGGUACAACGAGUUGCGAGUCGGUGACGGCGAGCUAAUCUCUUAAAGCCAAUCUCAGUUCGGAUUGUAGGCUGCAACUCGCCUACAUGAAGUCGGAAUCGCUAGUAAUCGCGGAUCAGCACGCCGCGGUGAAUACGUUCCCGGGCCUU